rnacentral:rRNA from 1 species
ACGCUGGCGGCGCGCCUAAUACAUGCAAGUCGAACGGAAGUUUAAGCAAUUAAACUUUGAAACGACUGCUAAGACUGGAUAGGAGACAAGAAGGCAUCUUCUUGUUUUUAAAAGACCUAGCAAUAGGUAUGCUUAGGGGAGGAGCUUGCGUCACAUUAGUUAGUUGGUGGGGUAAAGGCCUACCAAGACUAUGAUGUGUAGCCGGGCUGAGAGGUUGAACGGCCACAUUGGGACUGAGACACGGCCCAAACUCCUACGGGAGGCAGCAGUAGGGAAUUUUCGGCAAUGGAGGAAACUCUGACCGAGCAACGCCGCGUGAAUGAUGAAGUAUUUCGGUACGUAAAGUUCUUUUAUUAGGGAAGAAUAAAUGAUGGAAAAAUCAUUCUGACGGUACCUAAUGAAUAAGCCCCGGCUAACUAUGUGCCAGCAGCCGCGGUAAUACAUAGGGGGCAAGCGUUAUCCGGAAUUAUUGGGCGUAAAGGGUGCGUAGGCGGUUAAAUAAGUUUAUGGUCUAAGUGCAAUGCUCAACAUUGUGAUGCUAUAAAAACUGUUUAGCUAGAGUAAGAUAGAGGCAAGUGGAAUUCCAUGUGUAGUGGUAAAAUGCGUAAAUAUAUGGAGGAACACCAGUAGCGAAGGCGGCUUGCUGGGUCUUUACUGACGCUGAGGCACGAAAGCGUGGGGAGCAAACAGGAUUAGAUACCCUGGUAGUCCACGCCGUAAACGAUGAGUACUAAACGUUGGGUAAAACCAGUGUUGAAGUUAACACAUUAAGUACUCCGCCUGAGUAGUACGUACGCAAGUAUGAAACUUAAAGGAAUUGACGGGACUCCGCACAAGCGGUGGAUCAUGUUGUUUAAUUCGAAGGUACCCGAAAAACCUCACCAGGUCUUGACAUGCUUCUGCAAAACUGUAGAAACACAGUGGAGGUUAUCAGUUGCACAGGUGGUGCAUGGUUGUCGUCAGCUCGUGUCGUGAGAUGUUGGGUUAAGUCCCGCAACGAGCGCAACCCUUAUUGUUAGUUACCAGCACGUAAUGGUGGGGACUUUAACGAGACUGCCAAUGAUAAAUUGGAGGAAGGGGGGGAUCACGUCAAAUCAGCAUGCCCCUUAUGACCUGGGCUACAAACGUGAUACAAUGGCUGUUACAAAGGGUAGCUGAAACGCAAGUUCUUGGCCAAUCCCCAAAAACAGUCCAGUCCCGGAUUGAAGUCUGCAACUCGACUUCAUGAAUUAAUCGCCUAGUAAUCGCGAAUCAGCAUGUCGCGGUGAAUACGUUCUCGGGGUUUGUACACACCGCCCGUC